UACGUAGGGUGCGAGCGUUGUCCGGAAUUAUUGGGCGUAAAGAGCUCGUAGGCGGCCUGUCGCGUCGGAUGUGAAAGCCCGGGGCUUAACCCCGGGUCUGCAUUCGAUACGGGCAGGCUAGAGUGUGGUAGGGGAGAUCGGAAUUCCUGGUGUAGCGGUGAAAUGCGCAGGUAUCAGGAGGAACACCGGUGGCGAAGGCGGAUCUCUGGGCCAUUACUGACGCUGAGGAGCGAAAGCGUGGGGAGCGAACAGG
rnacentral:rRNA from 1 species